rnacentral:tRNA from 1 species
UGGGACGUAGUUUAAUGGCAAAACACCAGACUUUGACUCUGGGGACUGGUAAAGCAAGUGAAGGUUCAAGUCCUUCCGUCUCAGCCA